rnacentral:lncRNA from 10 species
CCAGAGUCAGUGACUCCAAACAGUUUCUUAACAACCAUCAGCCCUUCCACUCUGCCUAUUUGCCUCUUCGUUUAAUAGCAUCUAGAGCUCUCAGUAGGUAGGUGUCCAUUUAGCUUUCAUUUUAAAAGAGCCAUUGUGGCCGUGUGGAAGCAUCGAUCACUUGGGUUCUGAAAUCUCGCAUGCAGAAGAACCCAGGUGUCAAUACUACUCCUGGGAAGUGUCAACCCACUUCCACUCUGGGUCCCUAGACCCAUGUGUUUUAAUUAAUCAGGAGCAAAUUUGUGUAAAAACACGUCUGGAUAAAAAUCAAUUUAGCAAAAUUGUUUUUAAGAUAUUUAUACAGAUAAAAUGAUAUAAUUAUUUCUUAGUCUUUCAUAAUGAAGCCAACAUUUAACAAUAAAUUCAAUAUUGCCUUUAAAAAGCCAUUUGUUUAGAUAUCCAAAGAAUACCCAAUACUAUGUUGAACAAGAAUGAAUAGAAGAGGAAAAAAA